AUGAGGAACGUGCCGCUGUUCCCAGGCCACGCCGAUGCUGCCAGGGACAUCCUCGCUCCACAUGGAUCCAUGAUGGGACCUGAACAACCUUUCCUGGGGUCCCUGUAUUCCCCUGCAGAGGCUCUGGACCCAUCAGCCUUCAUCGGCCUCGAGUCAGGCACAGAAUUCCUGCCAGGAAAAGCAGCACCUGAAGAAUACUGGAUGGGAGCUCAGCAGGACAUGAAGGGACCAGAUACCUCUUUCUUUGUUGAGCCACCAGUGCCCCCCUCAGCCACAGAGGCCAUCAGGACAAGCCUGCCCGAGAGCCCCACGGCAGCAGCAGCCCCUGGGGAUGUUCCUGCUGCAGCCUCAGCAUUCCCAGGAGAAGCUGCAGCCACGGAUGCACCAAAGGGCUCCACGCCAGGUGCAGCCUCUGUUCCCGACGCCGCGUCGCUCCCCGCAGAGAGAGCUGGAGCUGUCCCUGCUGCAGACACCAAACCUCCCCCAGCUCCAGGGGCUGCAGCUCCUGCAGCAGCUGCCAACCCUUUCCAGACCACGGAUUUGGGGUUUUCUCCUGCACCUGAAGCCAACCCUCCCAAAGGCGUCAAUGACAUCUCCACCCCGGGCACGGAGCUCGGCUUCGCCCCGGCCACAGA
rnacentral:lncRNA from 1 species